rnacentral:rRNA from 1 species
CGUAGCCGGUUCAGUAAAUCUUUGGGUAAAUCGGCCAGCUUAACUGACCGAAUUCCGAAGAGACUGCUGAACUUGGGACCGGGAGAGGCCAGAGGUACUUCUGGGGUAGGGGUAAAAUCCUGUAAUCCUAGAAGGACCACCGGUGGCAAAGGCGUCUGGCUAGAACGGAUCCGACGGUGAGGGACGAAGCCCUGGGGCGCAAACGGGAUUAGAUACCCCGGUAGUCCAGGGUGUAAACGCUGCAGGCUUGGUGUUGGGGGUCCUUCGGGGGCGCCCAGUGCCGGAGAGAAGUUGUUAAGCCUGCUACUUGGGGAGUACGUCCGCAAGGAU